CCUACGGGUGGCAUCAGUGAGGAAUAUUGGUCAAUGGGCGCGAGCCUGAACCAGCCAAGUCGCGUGAGGGAGGACGGCCCUACGGGUUGUAAACCUCUUUUGCCGGGGAGCAACGGGCGCCACGUGUGGCGUCACUGAGAGUACCCGGAGAAAAAGCAUCGGUAACCUCCGUGCCAGCAGCCGCGGUAAUACGGAGGAUGCGAGCGUUAUCGGGUUUUAUUGGGUUUAAAGGGGGCGUAGUCGUAUCGUAAAGUAAGUGGUCAAAUUGAGGGGCUCAACCCCUUCCCGCCAUUGAAACUGGCGUUCUUGAGUGGGAGAGAGGUAUGCGGAAUGCGUGGUGUAGCGGUGAAAUGCAUAGAUAUCACGCAGAACCCCGAUUGCGAAGGCAGCAUGCCGGCUUCCGACUGACGCUGAAGCACGAAAGCGUGGGGAUCGAACAGGAUUAGAUACCCUUGUAGUC
rnacentral:rRNA from 1 species